GACGAACGCUGGCGGCGUGCCUAAUACAUGCAAGUAGAACGCUGAAGAGAGGAGCUUACUCUUCUUGGAUGAGUUGCGAACGGGUGAGUAACGCGUAGGUAACCUGCCUUGUAGCGGGGGAUAGCUAUUGGAAACGAUAGCUAAUACCGCAUAACAAUGGAUGACACAUGUCAUUUAUUUGAAAGGGGCAAUUGCUCCACUACAAGAUGGACCUGCGUUGUAUUAGCUAGUAGGUGAGGUAAUGGCUCACCUAGGCGACGAUACAUAGCCGACCUGAGAGGGUGAUCGGCCACACUGGGACUGAGACACGGCCCAGACUCCUACGGGAGGCAGCAGUAGGGAAUCUUCGGCAAUGGGGGCAACCCUGACCGAGCAACGCCGCGUGAGUGAAGAAGGUUUUCGGAUCGUAAAGCUCUGUUGUAAGUCAAGAACGGGUGUGAGAGUGGAAAGUUCACACUGUGACGGUAGCUUACCAGAAAGGGACGGCUAACUACGUG
rnacentral:rRNA from 1 species